UACGGGGGGGGCAAGCGUUGUUCGGAAUUACUGGGCGUAAAGGGCGCGUAGGCGGCCUUCUAAGUCAGACGUGAAAUCCCUCGGCUCAACCGAGGAACUGCGUCUGAUACUGGAAGGCUUGAAUCCGGGAGAGGGAUGUGGAAUUCCAGGUGUAGCGGUGAAAUGCGUAGAUAUCUGGAGGAACACCGGUGGCGAAGGCGGCUCACUGGCCCGAUACUGACGCUGAGGCACGAAAGCGUGGGGAGCGAACAGG
rnacentral:rRNA from 1 species